rnacentral:tRNA from 1 species
GCCGAGGUGGCGAAAUGGCAGACGCAGCGGACUUAAAAUCCGCUGGGCGCAAGCCCAUGUGGGUUCGACCCCCACCCUCGGCACCA